UCUUCUUCUUCAUUGCAAUGCAAAAACAAAAGCAAGAAAAGAGAGAGAGGGAGCUGGUCGAGUGGAAGUCGAGGAGGAUGAGCUCUCCAUCUUUUCCUUGUUCUUCGUUGCACCAUCAUCAGAAGGGGGAAGUGAUAGUCAAGAAGUGAUUGACCGAAGCUGAGAAGGAGCCACCCCGUCACCCCUCCUAUUCUUCAAUUUUUCUUUGCUGAAUAGCUGAACCACAAGCCAAGAAAGGGCUGAGUAAAUCUUGGAAGAAAAUUAACUGAGAAAGGAAGAGAGAGCUUGAGCUGAGUAUGACCAAGAGUGAACUCCAACGAAAUCAAGUCAUAUAUCCGCCAUCGAUUGUGCUUCGUCGAGUAAACUUCACGACGAAAAGUAGAGCAUACAAUUACCAAGGGAUAAUCCUUGCCUAUAUGAGUAAAGUGGACUUCUCACAGAACAAAUUUGAAGGGAACAUUCCGGCCGAACUUGGAAACAUGACAAGGAUCAGAGCAAUAAACUUGUCUUAUAAUGACUUAACAGCACAUAUCCCAUCUACACUUUCCAAAUUGAAAGACAUAAAGUUUGGAUCUUUCUUCCAACAAAUUGAGUGGCAAUAUAACAAAUGUUUUUCUA